UAAAAGGUCGGGAUAGCUCAGUGG
rnacentral:tRNA from 1 species